UUGUUGCGGUCAGCGGCCGUUCAAGUGCAUUACUAAAGUUGCGUAUUUUUCAGAAUACCGAUAGUACGUAAAGGCAACAUUUCACUGCCACUCUUUGUUGGCAAUGACCAGCGUUUUGACUUAUGUGUGGCUACUACUGUCACUGUUAUUGUGUUUAUUUCUACACACUGAACCCAUUUCGUGGCGGUCAUUGGGAAAAAAUGAAUGUGUUGGAGCUUCUGUACUUUCUAAGGAAAACACCGUUGCCGAACUCAGUGUAAGGUUGAGAGGGAGCAGGAGCCAAUCCCAGCAGUCAUCAGACGAGGAGGGGUACAACGGGUUCCCACAAACUGGAACAAGAAGAGCAAGUAAACUCCAUGAGCACCUGCCAGGGCUUGAACCGUGAUGAUCUUGUUGUAAGCCUCAGCAAACACCAUCUGCAGGUCGUGGAGUUUAACCUCGGCGUCCAGGUGAGAGCCGGACUCCUCAUCGCCGCCUCUCACCACACCACCGCAGAGGAAGGAGACGGCAGGCCAGCGCUCCCCGACUGGAGAAAAGGAAAUCCAACGUAGCAACAAAAUCAGACGUGAAGCUCAGGUAAGAACACUCCCACGCACGGCAUGCUUUCUCUAAUGAACCCACAGUUCCACUGUGAGUGUGGGAAUCUGCAGCAGCCUAAUGCACUAGAGCUCACACACCUGCACUCUUUCAUGCACAUUAUCUAAUUUCCACGAAUUGACAGACAGACAGACAUGAAGCAAUCUGGGCACAAGUCCUUACAUGCAGUUCCCCGUUUCCCCCUGUCCUUGCUCCUUUUCCCCUUAAAACACUGCCUCUUUAUUCUCCAACCAAAAGGGGAAAAAAAAACUCUCGCUUUCAGCAAACACACACGCACACACACACACAGAGAAAACAGGGGACUUCCAGCCACGGAGAAAUAGCAGUGUAAUUGCCGGUGCUCUGUUGUCUAUCAAGACGUGACCUUUUUAACGUGUGGGUGAUGUGUGGGGAGCUGUGGGAACCGGUGAGGUGGAAGAAAGUGGUCUCCCCGACUCUGUGGUGGUCUCACCCAUACUCCCCCGCCCCCCUUCUCUUUGGCAACACUCCGAGAUCUCCAGCUGCAUCAUCUUUAGAUUUAUUCUGUGAUGAAGACGGAGAACGCUGCUAAUCAGCCAAGUCUCAAGUCCUGGUAUGAGGACGGUGGGUAAGGACGAGGUGGGAUGAACAGAGCGGACCCUGUGUCCUCGCCGUCACAGAGGGAUGGAGCACCUACACUGUAGUCACACAAGUGUUUGGUUUCUAACGCUGUGUAUUGGCAAGAAUCUGGUGAUAAAUCGUGAUCUUCAGUGUGUUGAUGUUUUCUUCCAGCCAUAUUACUUUCUGUGGGAGGCCGAGGAAAAUGAAGUGGGCUCAUGUUGCCUUACAUGACAUCUAGUGACUAAACAGUGAGUGGAACCAAGGGAUUGUAACCCUGGGAGAGAAACUGUCAAACAAAAAUGGCUUGAAACGUGUGACACUCUGGCAGAACAUCAACCAACAAACUGUUAUGACAAAGAUAAAUAUAGUUAUAAUAGUAGAGCACAUGAUUGGAGAGCGGUCAGUGCGCUUGCUUUACAGCAAGAAGAUGGUUUGACUGGUUUGAUCCCUGGUGGUGACUGAUGGUCUUUCUGUAUUGAGUUCAUAUGGUUUCCCCGAGUGUGUGUGUGUGUGUGUGUGGGUUUUCCUCCCACAGUCCAAACACAUGCUGGAUUAAGUUAACUGGACUCUCCGCUGACCAUAGAUGUGUGUGUAAAUGUUGUCGUGGUAGUGGUUUUAUUCAGUCGUAUAAACAAGUAGAAAAAAACUCAGAUUGAAUGUUUAAAAAUGUCUUUGCUAAAUAUGUGCAGUCACUGGACGUCACUUCUGAAAAGUAGACAAUACCUGAACACCAGUGACACGCAGUAAAGUUCAAAUCCAACCUGAGAGCUGAAAUACUAAACAAAACACUAGAAAAACGAAUUUGUCCUUUUGAAAAAUUAUUAAAAUCUUUUUAUUUCCCUAAAAACCUGAACUCCUGCUGCUGUUUUCACUCGUGUAAACUGGAAGAUCACUUCUGGCUGCAGUACCUCCGACAGCCUCUACAGUCAGCGUUUGCAGCUUUUGGACCACCAUUUGUUUUUGGGUGGAAAUGUGUGGAAUAAGUUCCAGAUUAGCCACUGGCACUGGCACCAGUUGUGGCACUGGUUACAGGUUCAGAAAUGGCAUUUGGCACCAGAACCACUGGGCAGGAAAGGUCUGACUGACAGACGGGCUCAGUUCUCAGUGGGAGAACACAAAGCUGUCCUCAGAAAUCUAUUAGGAGCCUAUAAGCCCGUAAUGACUCCAAUUGGCAUGUCACUGGGGGCUUUCACUUCUCCCCGUGUCUGUCACUAGCCGUGGGCCCACUGAUGGUGCAGGCACCAUGGGAUAAAGGGCAACCACUGGUGGUGG